GCCUAACACAUGCAAGUCGAACGGUAACAGGAAGCAGCUUGCUGCUUCGCUGACGAGUGGCGGACGGGUGAGUAAUGUCUGGGAAACUGCCUGAUGGAGGGGGAUAACUACUGGAAACGGUAGCUAAUACCGCAUAAUGUCGCAAGACCAAAGAGGGGGACCUUCGGGCCUCUUGCCAUCGGAUGUGCCCAGAUGGGAUUAGCUAGUAGGUGGGGUAACGGCUCACCUAGGCGACGAUCCCUAGCUGGUCUGAGAGGAUGACCAGCCACACUGGAACUGAGACACGGUCCAGACUCCUACGGGAGGCAGCAGUGGGGAAUAUUGCACAAUGGGCGCAAGCCUGAUGCAGCCAUGCCGCGUGUAUGAAGAAGGCCUUCGGGUUGUAAAGUACUUUCAGCGGGGAGGAAGGGAGUAAAGUUAAUACCUUUGCUCAUUGACGUUACCCGCAGAAGAAGCACCGGCUAACUCCGUGCCAGCAGCCGCGGUAAUACGGAGGGUGCAAGCGUUAAUCGGAAUUACUGGGCGUAAAGCGCACGCAGGCGGUUUGUUAAGUCAGAUGUGAAAUCCCCGGGCUCAACCUGGGAACUGCAUCUGAUACUGGCAAGCUUGAGUCUCGUAGAGGGGGGUAGAAUUCCAGGUGUAGCGGUGAAAUGCGUAGAGAUCUGGAGGAAUACCGGUGGCGAAGGCGGCCCCCUGGACGAAGACUGACGCUCAGGUGCGAGAGCGUGGGGAGCAAA
rnacentral:rRNA from 1 species